GCUCCUUCACUUCGGUGUUGUAGAGCACUCUGUGGAGUUAAUUGGGUGUCCAUUAGCAAUAAUGCAAAGCUCACUUCCCUCGUGGUUGUUUGGGCACUCUGGCCCCAUGUCACUCUGCGCAUGUCUGGAUGCGUUGAUGGCCCGUGUUGUACCACAUGCGCUUGGGAGAGCAAGUGUCAUGUAUAUCAAUACGAAGGUCAUCGCGUGUCUAGAUGUGUACCAAGCUGCACUGAUGAGGCGUAGGACGCCGAAACAUGCAUGUCUGCAGAUUGU